ACCCAGCUUCCAGGAAAAGCCACUAAGCUUCAGCUGCACACGACCGUACCGCAAACCGACACUGGUGCGCGAGAUGAGUAUUCUCAGGCGCUUGAGAGAACUCGGGAGAAGGAACUCGGCAAAUUGACACCGUAACUUCGGAAGAAGGUGUGCCUUUAGUAGGUGAACCCGUACAGGGGGAGCCCAAUGAGGUUGCAAAGAAUCGGUGGCUGCGACUGUUUAAUAAAAACACAGCACUCUGCAAACACGAAAGUGGACGUAUAGGGUGUGACGCCUGCCCGGUGCUGGAAGAUUAAGUGAUGGGGUGCAAGCUCUUGAUCGAAGUCCCAGUAAACGGCGGCCGUAACAAUAACGGUCCUAAGGUAGCGAAAUUCCUUGUCGGGUAAGUUCCGACCUGCACGAAUGGCGUAACGAUGGCCACACUGUCUCCUCCCGAGACUCAGCGAAGUUGAAAUGUUUGUGAUGAUGCAAUCUCCCCGCGGAAAGACGGAAAGACCCCAUGAACCUUUACUGUAGCUUUGUAUUGGACUUUGAACGGAUCUGUGUAGGAUAGGUGGGAGGCUUUGAAGCAGGGUCGCUAGAUCUUGUGGAGCCAACGUUGAAAUACCACCCUGGUGCGUUUGAGGUUCUAACCUAGGCCCGUUAUCCGGGUCGGGGACAGUGCAUGGUAGGCAGUUUGACUGGGGCGGUCUCCUCCCAAAGCGUAACGGAGGAGUUCGAAGGUACGCUAGUUACGGUCGGACAUCGUGACGAUAGUGCAAUGGCAUAAGCGUGCUUAACUGCGAGACUGACAAGUCGAGCAGAUGCGAAAGCAGGACAUAGUGAUCCGGUGGUUCUGUAUGGAAGGGCCAUCGCUCAACGGAUAAAAGGUACUCUGGGGAUAACAGGCUGAUACCGCCCAAGAGUUCAUAUCGACGGCGGUGUUUGGCACCUCGAUGUCGGCUCAUCUCAUCCUGGGGCUGUAGCCGGUCCCAAGGGUAUGGCUGUUCGCCAUUUAAAGAGGUACGUGAGCUGGGUUUAAAACGUCGUGAGACAGUUUGGUCCCUAUCUUCCGUGGGCGCUGCAGAUUUGAGGAAGCCUGCUCCUAGUACGAGAGGACCGGAGUGGACGCACCUCUGGUGUACCUGUUGUCACGCCAGUGGCAUUGCAGGGUAGCUAAGUGCGGAAGAGAUAACCGCUGAAAGCAUCUAAGCGGGAAACUCGUUUCAAGAUGAGAUCUGCCGGGGCCUUGAGCCCCCUGAAGAGUCGUUCUAGACCAGGACGUUGAUAGGCUGGGUGUGGAAGCGCAGUAAUGCGUUAAGCUAACCAGUACUAAUUGCUCGUGCGGCUUGACCCU
rnacentral:rRNA from 1 species